rfam:Shinella sp. HZN7 plasmid pShin-10, complete sequence.
AGUUGAUGCACAUGGCGGUCUUUCUCCUCCCAGUGCCGCCGCGUCAGCUGUUCCCCUCUGGAGGUUUUGACCUUCACACUUCAAUGGGCCGCGGUUUCGCAGGCCCAUUUUUU